CCCGGACGUGGAGCAGAGGCAGACUCGCCGCCUUGUCAGGGCGGAUACGCCGGUUCGAAUCCGGCCGUCCGGGACC
rnacentral:tRNA from 1 species